rnacentral:rRNA from 1 species
GCUCAGAACGAACGCUGGCGGCGCGCUUAACACAUGCAAGUCGCACGAGAAAGUGGAGCAAUCCAUGAGUACAGUGGCGUACGGGUGAGUAACACGUGGAUCAUCUACCUCUUAGUGGGGAAUAACCCUGGGAAACCGGGGCUAAUACCGCAUAAUCUCGAGAGAGGAAAGCAGCAAUGCGCUGAGAGAGGAGUCCGCGGCCGAUUAGCUAGUUGGUAGGGUAACGGCCUACCAAGGCAAAGAUCGGUAGCCGGCCUGAGAGGGCACACGGCCACACUGGCACUGAAACACGGGCCAGGAUCCUACGGGAGGCAGCACUGGG